GAAUUUGGCGCCCUGCACUUUCAAUGGAUAUUGGUCAGGAGGGACGGUAGCGUCCCAUCUAGCCUAGAGUUAACACUCUGUCUGUCCAUCGGCAGUGAGCUGUCCCACAGUGCCAUAACGGUCCACAUGUUUAGCACACUCCUGCUGAGGCCUGGAGACUGGUGAUAGAUUAGCUCAGGCGGCUUUAUUCCAUGCUUAGUCCUCAGUUUGAACCAGGAUGACAUGAAUCAAGGGGCUGAAUUACAUUCUCAGUCCUCAGUUUGAACCAGGAUGACAUGAAUCAAGGGGCUGAAUUCCAUUCUCAGUCCUCAGGAUGAACCAGGAUGAUAUGAAUCAGGGGGCUGAAUUCCAUUCUCAGUCCUCAGGUUGAACCAGGAUGAUAUGAAUCAGGGGGCUGAUUUCAAGGCUGUUUAUCCCAAGGUGCUCUUUAGAACUGGAGUUGGAGAGCUCCGUAGUUAAGUUACACCCCGACAGCUUUACUCAACAACGUGGCAGUCUGUUGCUUGUGAGAGCUAAGACAUUAGGAUGAUAUAUUGUAC
rnacentral:lncRNA from 1 species